GCUGAAUAAAAUUAGAUUUUUUAGUGUAGAAAAUGUCAAGUUUGGUUAGAAGAUUUUGUUUCCUACAAAAAAUUUUUAUUUGCAGAACUUUUGAGCGGACAGUCAUCUGUUAAGGCAACGUGUCGUAUGAGUAAUAUUUGAAUUUUCUCAUUUGGCACUGCUGCAGCAUUCCCCCGCCCAAAGGCAGGCAUGUUAACAUUUAUAACUGCAAAUAUAUGCAUGAAGAAUAAACACAGCGCAGAAGACCCAAGAUAAGAAGAAGCGUAAAUUGUUUAAUGAACAAACAGGCAUACGGAACAAAAACGAUAACAAAAGCUAAGCAAACAAAUAAGGUACGGAAUCCGACUCCGACUCCAUCUCCGACUGAAAUAGCAAAUGGGAGCAGGCAGGGAGCCAAAGGAAAUGUUAGUUCGAAGCAGACCAAGCGUGAAAUAAUCACAUUAACUAACACACAACCUAAAAGCAGAAGGCGACGCUCGACAGUCAACACUUGCCCGGACGACAACAAACAAGCCUGCCCCGGCAGCCCAGAAGGAAGGACAGACAUCUGGCCAAAGUCUUUGCCAGUGUCUCUGAAGGCAAUGCCAGCGGUAACACUUCAGGCGAUUCCAGUCAAGUGCAAGGAGCAGCGAGCAGGGAGCUGGACACAAACUGCGCCAGCUCAAAUGGAAAGUCAAUGCUAAAAUGCCAGCAAAAUCGAAUAUAGCAAAUGAUGUGUUCGCAUUUUCUAAAAGCAUUUGAACUUUGAUCUUUCAUUUUUUUUUUAAAUGAGUGUCAAGAACAUCCAACAUAAAGAAGAUACUUUUUCCAAAGUUAAUGCGAGCUCUGAGCUUGGCUAAGCAUAUUUAUUGUCCAAGUUGCCUAACUUAAUAAAACAAACAAAGGGGAGAAGACACGUGCAUGCCAAGAAAAUAUUUGCCUAUUUCAGUUGGCCUUGCCAGGGCUAUUAUUGGGUGAAAAGAAAUGUCUGAAAUUUGAUGAAAAAAACAUGGCCCGGGCAUCGCUGGAUCAUAAUGGCUAAUAAUUUAAGAACUAGCGAACCCAUUAAAAGCGUGCAUAGAGGGUAUACUGGUUUUGUGCAAGCGUAUGUAACAGGCUAAAGGAAACUUCGCCCAUAAACGCCAUGGAUGUUUCAGGUUUCAGCCAAUUUAAACUUAUUUUCAGCCUAUCUACAUGAAACAAUUUGAGACGUGCCGAUGGAGACAGUACAUAUAGAUUGGUUUUUUCCACGCGCGGAAAAUUGGUGGAAAUGUCGUACCAUAAAAGCAAAACUUGUACCAGAGGCAUUUUAAAUUUUGACGGGUGGAAUAUGAGUGAAAAAUUGAUGUCUACAAACUAGUUAUUAUCAUGCUUCCAAAAGUAAUUGAAAAAAGUUCUGUAAAUUGUAGUUCCUGUUUUGCAUAAACGGAUUGUCAAUCUUGCUUCUCACUCGA